GACCAACCCAGGGGAGCUCAGGUGCAUGCAAUAUACCUGAGUGACUGGGAGGAUCCACACACAAGGAUCCUCCCCUUCCCAGACCUCAGUUAAGGGUUGGCAGUGAAGUUGAGUGUUAUUUCAUGAGAGAUCCCUGCAUACCUAAGGUCUUCAAAAGAACCAAAACACAGCAACAUGCCAGACAUUCUGAAGAGAACAAUUCCAUCCCAGCUGAAACUAAGACCGUGUUGUAGUGCAUCCAUGUGUCUGUGCAGUCCCGAACUUGUGGCCGUGGACAUGUGUUGUUUUCACUCUCAGGCUAAGCAUGAAACAAAGUCUUCAGGAGACUGUUACAAAGUCAUGAGGAGGCAGUAGUCUUCCCAUUUUCACUACAAAAUUUUAUACCAAACUGCUACACAAAAAUUAUACCAACGUAAUUGCAUUACACAUAAAAACUCAGCCUUUCUGUGCUGCACCCAACAACCAUGCAAAAAACAUCCAACAUUCAUCAAUCAUGCUAUGCUAGGCUCCUAGUUUCCUUACUGACUCAGAGAAGCCAACACAAAACAAAAUCACUCUUCCUUUGAUGAUUCACUGACAUCAUCAAGUUCUGAUCUGAAAAUCACCAAAGCAGUAUUCUCCCAUCAAGGAACACCUUCGCAAAAUCUGUCACUUCAUUCCUGGCACAUCUCUUGGGACCACCUAGAUGCAAAGACAUUGUAUCCUCACAACAACAAAAACAGCCCACUUACUAGUGCAGUACGGAACUGAUGGUCCACAGCAUUUGUGGUGGCAGGGGUAAAGCGGAGCUGAGUUUGAAAGCUCUGGAAUGUACCUGAUAGAGCUCGUCUGGCGUGGUGUUUUACUGUGAUAUUGCUGCUCUCAUUUGGAGGAAAAAUAGAGAAGCUUUUUUAAAGGCAGUGAUACUGACGUGAGCUCUUCACAAGAUGUUGAGUGCGCAUCUAUUUUUGAAGACUUCUAUUUAACUUUAUGUAUGUUUGUCUCCAUGUGAGAUGUGAUACUGAUCUAUGUGAGUCUUUUAGAACAUCUGUGGUAAACAUUUCAUUGAUUUGCAAGAUCGUUCAUCGUUAAAUUCUCAGUUUCACGUCAAAUGCAAUUUUUAAAGCAAAACUCACAACAAGGUUACAAUUAUAACAUGUAUUUUAAUCCAUGCAAGGAGAACUCCUGCUGAUGUCUAAAAGCUUUCUCUUCCAGCCUUAGUCUUACCUGAGCUGCACAAGUUUGCCUAACCAUAAGGGCUUGAAAAUAAGUAGACCAAUGUACUGUUUAGAAUUCAGCUGUUAUAAUUAAGACAGUCUCCCCCAGACAGAUCUAAACACAGUAGAAUCUAUUUAUUCAUACCAGAUAUUUAUUUGUGGGAGUAUCUUACUUGUUCUUUUUUAAAUGUUCUCAGCAAGCUGCCUAGUGGAAACAUGGCUGCUGAUUCCCAGUGACUUAAGAUAAGAUAAGUAAGACAGAUCUUUUGUUCUGGUUAGAGGAACUAGAAGGACACAGGAUGACUACAACCAGUUAAGUGACAGAAACCUCAUGGUAAGGAGGAUAAUCUGUUAAUGUGAACAGGAACAUGGAGGUCAAACACAUACAGUUUCAAGCUUGACAGCCAGUCUGUGCAGAAUACAUAAACACGGGGAGUCCUCUAUGCAAAUGUGAGGACUAACUGCAGCAGAAAGAGACCGUGCAAGAAUCACGACUCCACAAAAGACUUACCCAUCUUUCUGGUAAAAUGGCAUUGUAUAUAUGAGUUUAAAUUUAUUCUAUUUGGUCAACACCAUGGGAAACUUAACCUGAAAUAGGUGACGGUGAUGGGUUUGAAAACUGAUGGGCUGGCAGAAUGGUGACUCAUGGAAAAACUCAAGGUCAAAAAUAGAACAUUUGGGAAAGCCCUUCUUGCUUAUAUUUCUACAACACUAUAUCUGUGCAGUUUUCUCUUAUAUCGUGUAUCUUUUUUAAGUAACAACAAUAAUAAUAUAAUAUAAUAUAAUUUGCUUGUGAAAUCCCAAUUUAUCAGGAAUAAUUUGAAUCAGGAAAGAGAAGGCCCAGCCCAACUGUUAGGAAAAGAGGCCUAAAGGAUGAAAAUUAAUAUAUGUCAUCGUUUUGUGAUUUUCGGUUGUUGGUAUUCCACAUCAUAACAUCAUGUAGUGAAUGUACCUGGUUCUCAGAAGAGAAGGACUACUACAGUCCCCACGGUACUUUGC